ACAUUUGCUUGAAGGAAAAAAAAAAAUUCUUGUACUGUGAGACUUUAAGAAGCACAAAAUGGGCGUUAGACGGGUCUUACAUUUGGUGCAUUGACCGGGAAUCGUCCUGCUGGCGGGUCCAGUGACAGGAGACCGGAGGAUUGUUCGAGCAGGUACCGCGGCUGUGUCUCUUUGUGUCCGCCCUUGGCGUGCGUCUAUUCCGCGCGUCUAUUCCGUCUGUUCCCUCUAUUUUGAGUCGGCUGCAAGUCAGUUUGGUUUCGGUUUGCAAAGGAGUUGUCUGCCGGGGGUUGCCAGAAGCGACCUUAACGCUGCGGUAACGAAGAGUCCUGGAGGACGCUCCAGACUCUCAGAGUGGGAAGUCGGAUCCGAUCCGCGAGAUCCGGGAGGGCUCGACUUCAUCUGGGGGUCAGUGGCAAAGAGACCACUACCAAGUUAUUCAGUGUAUCUUCUGUGGCGCUCGUGGCAGGGGCGCGUUGGUAUUUUACUUUCUGUUUUUCUUUUUGUGUGUGGACUGGGACUGACGUUAUUUUUGGACAGAAUGGGACACUGACCUUCCACCCCUCCGAGUUUUACUCUAGAACAUUGGAGGGAGGUUAAGACUAGAGCUCACAAUCUCUCAGUAAAUGUGAAGAAAAAUAAAUGGUUUACUUUUUGCU
rnacentral:lncRNA from 1 species